rnacentral:lncRNA from 1 species
CAUCUCUUUUCAUUAUGACGAUUUCAUUUCCAAGAUAUGCCAAAAGAAAUCGGUCCGUUUCCUUUGCUGUUCAAAGCUUUUCUUUCUUCAUUCUUUCUCUCUAAAGACUUCUAAUCUUCUUCACAUCUCCCAUCCAGCCGAGCUUGGUCCAUGGCAUAAUCUGGAACUCCCCUAUCCAGGUAAAACUCUUCUCCUCUUCUUAACGAUUUUGUUGCUAUGAUAUGAGCAAGACCAUUUGCUGAUCUAGGUGUAUGUUGAAAUCUGAUAUUAUCAAGUCCAAAUAUUUCCUGUUGAAUGUCAUAAAUAUAUACCCCCACCAUAGAUCUAUCUUGACUCUUUGAUUUGCAUUUCUUGACUAUUGUGAGGGAAUCUCCUUUAAGAAUCAAAUGACGCCAUCCCCUCAUGAUUCCCAUUUGAACAGCUUUCCGGCAGGCAAUCGCUUCAGCAGCAAAGGCUGAUGAAAUAUUAAAAUGAAUCUCUGAACAUGAAAAAAGAAUAUUACCAUCCGAAUCUCUAGCCAAAAUACCCACGCCCGACUGAUUCUUUCCUCUAUCGAAUGCGCCAUCAAAGUUGAUCUUCAUGAAACUUGCCUGUGGGGACGACCAUCUCUUUUUUUCUACGGUACGAUUCAGAUCUCUCUUCUCAAGACCAUUAAUCUCACUGAUGUAGCUGUUUAUAAGAUUUGCAACUUCAGUUCCCUUUCUAAUUUUACCUUCAUGUAUUCUUUUGUUUCUGUCUCCCCAUAUUGCCCAGAGUGCACAACAAAAUAUGCGACUUUGGUCAAGGCUGAGCUCCUCUAUUGCCCAGGUAAUCCACUGUACAAAAUCCUCACAUUGAUUCCUUAAAAUGCACUGAAACGAUAAUGUUCUCCAUACCUCCCUUGUAACAUGACAGUCACGAAAUAAAUGGUUCAUUGUUUCAGCUCCUUCUCCACAUUGGGGGCAGCUUGGAUUUGCUACUAACUUCCGGUGCUGGAGAUUCACCUU